rnacentral:ribozyme from 1 species
ACGUUUACUUAAUGAAAAGAAAAAAUUCUUUGUGAAGAGAGCAAAAGCAGGACACAAUAGUGGAGUACUCCUUCUUUCCCCAUUUUUUUUUUUGUU